UUUCCGUAGGUGAACCUGCGGAAGGAUCAUUAUUGUAUAACCGAGGUGCGAGGGCUGUCGCUGACCCGAAAGGUCGUGCACGCCCGAGUGCCCUCACACACAUCCAUCUCACCCCUAUGUGCACAACCGCGUGGGUCCCCCUUUGGCUUGUUCGGAGGGGGGCUUACGUUUUCACACAAACUUUGUAUGUAGUGUAGAAUGUAUUUUUUGUUUUUGCGAUCACGCAAUCAAUACAACUUUCAACAAUGGAUCUCUUGGCUCUC
rnacentral:misc_RNA from 1 species